rnacentral:lncRNA from 1 species
AACAAGAGUGCACACGCUGAAAUGCCUCGCCUUCUAUACUAAUCAUUGAUAUUAUGUUGAUAGUCCUAAGUAUAAAGCUAAGCUUUAUUACAACUGUCACACAAACUUAACAUUAACCAAGAUAACUAAACAAAGACCAAUGAACCUUGAAAAUGAGGUCAAGGUCAGAUGAACCAUGCCAGGCAGACAUGUACAACUAACAAUGCUUCUAUACAACAUAUAUAGUUGACCCAUUACUUUAUUAGUUUAAGAAAAAUAGACCAAAACACAAACACUUAACACUGUGCAAUGAACCGUGAAAAUGAGGUCACGGUCAAAUAAAACCUGCGCGACUGACAUAAAGAUCAUAAAAUAUUUCCAAACACCAAAUAUAGUUGACCUAUGGCAUAUAGUAUUAGAUAAAAAGACCAAACUCAAAAACUUAACUUUGACCACUGAACCAUGAAAAUGAGGUCAAGGUCACAUGACAUCUGCUCGCUAGACAUGUACACCUUACAGUCCUUCCAUACACCGAAUAUACUAGCCCUAUUGCUUAUAGUAUCUGAGAUAUGGACUUGACCACCAAAACUUAACCUUGUUCACUGAUCCAUGAAAUGAGGUCGAGGUCAAGUGAAAACUGUCUGACAGACAUGAGGACCUUGCAAGGUACACAC